CCGCAGAAAGGGCACUGUGAUUAGGAGCCUUUCAUGAGCUUCCAUGAACGUCUAGGGCUUGCAAACUUCAUUUUCAAAAUAAGGCUGUUGGAUUAGAUGAUUUUCCCAACCCCUAACCCUCUGUGUUAAUGAAUGGACUGACUCUAUAAUCAUGCUCCUUGGACAUUUCUAUGGAAACACUGAGCCAUCAUAAGGGAGGCCUUCAUUCUGAUGUAACAAAGCCAGCUGUGUCCACAUGAGAACAUUGGCAAGAGUGGGGACAUGGAAGCUGUGUUCAGGCCGGUCCACGCUGGGUGACCCAUGUGACCUGCUGCUUAGCAAUUCCUUGUCACCAUCUUCCCUUCUCAGCCUCUUUUUUCAUGCUAACAGGCAUAAAUGAAAUGAUGAUAAAAGUUUGAGCUCUUCUCGUGGAAUUCUUGUGAUACAGAUAUGUGCUACACGUUCAUCAUCUCGUUGGUCUUCACCAUGAUAACUGUGGAGUAAGAAUUAUAAGCAGGUCACAGAUUAGGGACUUGAGAUUGACAGUUUGGCUUCCCUGUUCUGGGUGGCAAAGCCUGUGGAGUACUCACCUACCUGCUGCAUGAAGGCAGCAUGGAGGGACUGUGGUGGAUUAUCUGCAAAGAUGGCCAAAAUUCUCUCAUCCCUGCAGGCACAUACAAGAUGCCAGAAUCAGUCAAAACUAAGCUCACUGUCCUUGCUAAUAUUCUGCCCCAGAGAAGAACUGAAGCUCAGCUAUUCACCCUACAGAAAGCCUGAAUUUUGUAAAAGUUCUGCUUAGAAUGAGGAAGAAAGAUGAAGAAUGAGGAGGAAGAAGGGAGGAACAAGAGAGAGAGGUUGUUGCAUGGCAUAAGUAAAAUGACAGCCAAAGGAUACAUGCAACUUUUCAGGGACAAAGAUCUGUGCAGCAUCGACAGUACUGCCUAAUGAGGUUUCACCAUAAUGAAGUAUUACAACCAGUUUACAGACCAGAAAACUGAGACACAGGAAGGAGUGGUGACUUGAGCAAGGUGCAUCAGCUGGUUUCCAGAAGUUCCCCAGUCAUUGAGCAUUUCUGAGGCUCUUGAUGCAUAUGCCAAGUAGUUAUGGAGAAAGACACAGCAGCUUACCUCUGCAGGCAUCAUUGUGUGAAAGGAAGACCCAGGCUCUCUCACCACCCUUCAACAGAAGCCUUUUGCUAAGGUGAUAGCUACAUGUCCAAGCCUAUUGCGUGGCAUGCAUUUUGCCUUCUGCAGCCCACUAAAGGAGUUUGCAGUUCACCCGCAAACCUCAGCGAUCCAAGCUCCCCUGGAUGACCAUCACUCACCAAGAAAAGAACAAUAACAGGACCUGUUUUGCUAAUCCAGGACUGUUCUCCAGCACUAACUCUAAAUAAUCCCUUCUGCUAGAGUCCACUUUCUGGAACCUGUUGCCUCCGUUUUCAACGUUUCCCAAACUUGGUCCGUUGUGUGAGCUGGCUGAUAAAAGUUCCAGGGAGAGGACAUCUUACUCUUAUUGGAUCAUGCACAGUGCCUGAAGCAUUCUGUUGCAUGUAGAAAGUACUGGUGGAUGUUUGUUAAUUGAUUUGUUGAAUUGUUUUUCACUGAACACAUUCCCAAGAAACAGCCAAACCCAGAGUAAGGAAACCAUCUGGCAAGAACUGCUCAAGAGAAUGCUUCUUGGCUCUCCCAUCUUAAAGUCAGUAAAUUGCAGAUGUAAGAUUCAAAACCAGACUUCACAUCUACCGACUUCAGUGACCCUGAAAUUUGUUCACAGAGAGCAUUUAACAUAACUGUCUUCAUCAUCUCCUCUACAUUAAAAAUUAUGGAGGCCUUACAAACUGGUAGAAGAUGCAUAACAGAAGAGCUUAUGAAGUUAAAGAUGACAGCAUAGCAGCACUGGUGAGAUCCUUUUAGACAUAACAUGGUAGGAAGGACUGUUUGACAAAGUGAAUGCCUGUCUUUCAGAAAAUACAGGGAGGUGUGAUGUACCCAUUAUCACAAGCAGAUGGAAUGCCUAUAGAGUCGGAUCUCAUCUACAUAUCACCUAUUAUAUGUAGUUAUUGAUGGAUAAAUACUUCAACAGCUAAAGGCAGAAAGAGAGCAGUUCACACAGACGUUAUUGGUGAUUCACUCUUGAGUCAUGAAAAGUCAACCUUGAGCCACAAAAAGUCAACCUUGAGCCAUGCAGAGUGGAGAGUCAUACAUGCCAUUCCUGGGACCAUCAAAAAUGGCAGAGGUCACACAAAAGGCAAAACUUUUAAGAGGUGUUUUAAACGUCGUAUGGGCCAAAGAGAAGCUGGAUUUCCUAUUGGAGUCAGCUGUAACACACGUGUGAUGAAAUUGGCCUGUGAGGACAAGGCAGUGAGCAGAGAGGACAGCAGUCCUUAUGAGAUCAAGCUCUAAGGUAUCCUAGAUACAUUUGGAGAAUUCACCUGAGCUACAGGAUGUGAAAAGUUGCUAAAACUGCUGUGAGAUUCUGGCUAAGAAAGUUUCAUGAGAAGUUUUACAGAAAAAUGUGAACAGAAGACAGAACUAGAUAUAAAUUUGAAUGGUAAUCUAAAUAAAAGACAUUUUUCAUUUUAA